ACGAAUAUCUAUGGCGUUGGUUGUAGCUGGCUCCUAGGAGCAUUUGUGCACGCCCGUCAUUCAUAUCAUCUUUCCACCUGUGAACUAUGUGUAGGCCUGGAUACCUCUCGCUUUGGUAACGAAGCGGAUGCAAGGAUUGCUGUGUCGAUAAGGCCGGCUCUCUUUGAAUUUCCAGGUUCUAUGUCUUUUACACACUCCAUUUGAAUAAUGUAGAAUGUAAUCAAUGGGCUUUCAUGCCUAUAAAACACUAUA
rnacentral:misc_RNA from 1 species